UACGUAGGCAGCAAGCGUUGUUCGGAGUUACUGGGCGUAAAGAGUCUGUAGGCGGUGCUCUAAGUUUGGUGUGAAAUCUCCCGGCUUAACCGGGAGGGUGCGCCGAAGACUGGGGUGCUGGAGUCUGGGAGAGGAAAGCGGAAUUCCUGGUGUAGCGGUGAAAUGCGCAGAUAUCAGGAGGAACACCGGUGGCGAAGGCGGGUCUCUGGGCCGAUACUGACACUGAGAAGCGAAAGCGUGGGGAGCGAACAGG
rnacentral:rRNA from 1 species